GACCUCAAAUCAGGUGGGACUACCCGCUGAACUUAAGCAUAUCAAUAAGCGGAGGAAAAGAAACUAACAAGGAUUCCCCUAGUAACUGCGAGUGAAGCGGGAAAAGCUCAAAUUUAAAAUCUGGCGGUCUCCGGCCGUCCGAGUUGUAGUCUGGAGAAGCGUUUUCCGCGUUGGACCGUGUACAAGUUUCCUGGAACGGAGCGUCAUAGAGGGUGAGAAUCCCGUCUUUGACACGGACCCCAAUGCUUUGUGAUGCGCUCUCAAAGAGUCGAGUUGUUUGGGAAUGCAGCUCAAAAUGGGUGGUGAAUUCCAUCUAAAGCUAAAUAUUGGCGAGAGACCGAUAGCGAACAAGUACCGUGAGGGAAAGAUGAAAAGCACUUUGGAAAGAGAGUUAAACAGUACGUGAAAUUGUUGAAAGGGAAACGCUUGAAGUCAGUCGCGUCGUCCGGGACUCAGCCUUGCAUUCGCUUGGUGUACUUUCCGGUCGACGGGCCAGCAUCAGUUUUGACCGCGAGACAAAGGCGGAGGGAAUGUGGCUCUUUCGGGAGUGUUAUAGCCCUUCGUCGCAUGUCGCGGUUGGGACUGAGGACCGCAGCACGCCUUUAUGGCCGGGGUUCGCCCACGUACGUGCUUAGGAUGCUGGCGUAAUGGCUUUAAACGACCCGUCUUGAAACACGGACCAAGGAGUCUAACAUGCCUGCGAGUGUUCGGGUGGAAAACCCGUGCGCGUAAUGAAAGUGAAAGUUGGGAUCCCUGUCGUGGGGUGCACCGACGCCCGGACCAGACCUUUUGUGACGGAUCUGCGGUAGAGCAUGUAUGUUGGGACCCGAAAGAUGGUGAACUAUGCCUGAAUAGGGUGAAGCCAGAGGAAACUCUGGUGGAGGCUCGUAGCGAUUCUGACGUGCAAAUCGAUCGUCAAAUUUGGGUAUAGGGGCGAAAGACUAAUCGAACCAUCUAGUAGCUGGU
rnacentral:rRNA from 1 species